GAUGAAGAACGUAGCGAAAUGCGAUACGUAGUGUGAAUUGCAGAAUUCAGUGAAUCAUCGAAUCUUUGAACGCACAUUGCGCCCCUUGGUAUUCCAUGGGGCAUGCCUGUUCGAGCGUCAUUUGUACCUUCAAGCUCUGCUUGGUGUUGGGUGUUUGUCCCGCUUUUUGCGUGGACUCGCCUCAAAGCAAUUGGCAGCCGGCGUACUAGCCUGGGAGCGCAGCACAUUUUGCGCAUCUCGACUGGAACGCUUGCGUCCAUUAAGCCUACACUUUUGCUCUUGACCUCGGAUCAGGUAGGGAUACCCGCUGAACUUAAGCAUAUCAAUAAGCGGAGGA
rnacentral:misc_RNA from 1 species